ACGCUGGCGGCACGCCUAACACAUGCAAGUCGAACGAAGUAGCAAUACUUAGUGGCAGACGGGUGAGUAACAUGUAAGUAUCUGCCCUAUGGCCUGGAAUAACACGAGGAAACUUGUGCUAAUACCGGAUAAGUCUUUACGGAGAAAGCUUUAUGCACCAUUGGAUGAGCCUGCACUUGAUUAGUUUGUUGGUGGGGUAAUGGCCUACCAAGACUGUGAUCAAUAGCUGAUUUGAGAGGAUGAUCAGCCACAUUGGGACUGAGACACGGCCCAAACUCCUACGGGAGGCAGCAGUGGGGAAUCUUGCACAAUGGAGGAAACUCUGAUGCAGCGAUGCCGCGUGAGUGAAGAAGGCCUUUGGGUUGUAAAGCUCUUUCGUCGGGGAAGAAAAUGACUGUACCCGAAUAAGAAGGUCCGGCUAACUUCGUGCCAGCAGCCGCGGUAAUACGAAGGGACCUAGCGUAGUUCGGAAUUACUGGGCUUAAAGAGUUCGUAGGUGGUUGAAAAAGUUGGUGGUGAAAUCCCAGAGCUUAACUCUGGAACUGCCAUCAAAACUUUUCAGCUAGAGUAUGAUAGAGGAAAGCAGAAUUUCUAGUGUAGAGGUGAAAUUCGUAGAUAUUAGAAAGAAUACCAAUUGCGAAGGCAGCUUUCUGGAUCAUUACUGACACUGAGGAACGAAAGCAUGGGUAGCGAAGAGGAUUAGAUACCCUCGUAGUCCAUGCCGUAAACGAUGUGUGUUAGACGUUGGAAAUUUAUUUUCAGUGUCGCAGCGAAAGCGAUAAACACACCGCCUGGGGAGUACGACCGCAAGGUUAAAACUCAAAUGAAUUGACGGGGACCCGCACAAGUAGUGGAGCAUGUGGUUUAAUUCGAAGAUACGCGCAGAACCUUACCAACACUUGACAUGUUCGUCGCAACUCUAAGAGAUUAGAGUUUUCGGUUCGGCCGGACGAAACACAGGUGCUGCAUGGCUGUCGUCAGCUCGUGUCGUGAGAUGUUGGGUUAAGUCCCGCAACGAGCGCAACCCUCACUUUUAGUUGCCAUCAUUAAGUUGGGCACUCUGAAAGAACUGCCAGUGAUAAGCUGGAGGAAGGUGGGGAUGACGUCAAGUCCUCAUGGCCCUUACGUGUUGGGCUACACACGUGCUACAAUGGUAUCUACAACAGGAAGCAAGACUGCGAAGUUAAGCAAAUCCCUAAAAGAUACCUCAGUUCGGAUUGCACUCUGCAACUCGAGUGCAUGAAGCUGGAAUUACUAGUAAUCGUGGAUCAGCGUGCCACGGUGAAUGCGUUCCCGGGUCUUGUACUCACCGC
rnacentral:rRNA from 1 species